AGUACCAAAAAGGCAACUAUACAAUUUUUCUUUGCUUGAUAUAUGAAAUAAAAAGUAUAAUAUACAAUUCAACUUAUACAACCAUUCUAAAGACUUAAUAAUACAUCUUUUGAUUCCCUAGAUGUUUCAAUUCUAAAAUUUUGAUUAAAUUUUUAAUAGCUAAAUAAUUAAUCUAAAGCCAAGAAAAAAUAAAUGCUUAUUUAUCAUAUAUAAUGCAAAGAUAAAAUAAUUCAAUAAGAUUUUUUGCUUAAGACUCAAUACUUAGAUUAUAUAAAAU
rnacentral:lncRNA from 1 species